rnacentral:rRNA from 1 species
AGCGAACGCUGGCGGCAGGCCUAACACAUGCAAGUCGAACGAACUCUUCGGAGUUAGUGGCGGACGGGUGAGUAACACGUGGGAACGUGCCUUUUGGUUCGGAAUAACUCAGGGAAACUUGUGCUAAUACCGACUGUGCCCUUCGGGGGAAAGAUUUAUCGCCAUUAGAGCGGCCCGCGUCUGAUUAGCUAGUUGGUGAGGUAACGGCUCACCAAGGCGACGAUCAGUAGCUGGUCUGAGAGGAUGACCAGCCACACUGGUACUGAGACACGGCCCAGACUCCUACGGGAGGCAGCAGUGGGGAAUCUUGCGAAAUGGGCGAAAGCCUGACGCAGCCAUGCCGCGUGAAUGAUGAAGGUCUUAGGAUUGUAAAAUUCUUUCACCGGUGACGAUAAUGACGGUACCCGGAGAAGAAGCCCCGGCUAACUUCGUG